CUCUUGUGUGUGACAUAGCAAACCCGGGUCAAAGCAAUAUGAAGGGAAAAACUUUUACCAGGGAGGUCCGGUAAUACCUGGAGCCCAACUCCAAAGGGCUCUCAGGCAGAAAGGUGAUUCUAAAUCAGUCGGGUGGACAACGACCGCAUAACCCAGCCCCACCCACCAGCCACCCCUGGUUCUCAAGACCAUGACACCUCAGUGACCUUCUCCGGCAGGGCAUUAGAGCCUUCCACCGCUCUCAGACAUUAACGGAGUGGGCUCUGAUUCUA
ensembl:lncRNA